GGCCGGGUAGCUCAGUUGGCUAGAGCAUGGUCCUGAUACGCCAAGGCUGUAGGUUCGAUCUCUGCUCAGGACA
rfam:Myotis lucifugus cont2.15396, whole genome shotgun sequence.